GAUGAACGCUGGCGGCGUGCUUAACACAUGCAAGUCGAACGGUGAAGCAGGAGCUUGCUCCUGUGGAUCAGUGGCGAACGGGUGAGUAACACGUGAGCAAUCUGCCCUGGACUCUGGGAUAAGCGUUGGAAACGACGUCUAAUACCGGAUACGAGGCGUGGGGGCAUCCCCAAUGCCUGGAAAGAACUUCGGUCCAGGAUGAGCUCGCGGCCUAUCAGGUAGUUGGUGAGGUAACGGCUCACCAAGCCUACGACGGGUAGCCGGCCUGAGAGGGUGACCUGCCACACUGGGACUGAGACACGGCCCAGACUCCUACGGGAGGCAGCAGUUGGGAAUAUUGCACAAUGGGCGAAAGCCUGAUGCAGCAACGCCGCGUGAGGGACGAAGGCCUUCGGGUUGUAAACCUCCUUUAGCAGGGAAGAAGCGAAAGUGACGGUACCUGCAGAAAAAGCACCGGCUAACUACGUGCCAGCAGCCGCCGUAACAC
rnacentral:rRNA from 1 species